CCUGGUUACCUAUGUUUAAAGGAGAAUUUAGUAUUAGAAGGAAGGGAGUACAAUUCCAGGGCAGCAAGAGUGAGUAAAAAGGAAGUCAGUCAGGGAUGGAGAAAAAGCAAGUGCAAAGUGGGGCAUCAGGAAGCGGGCUACAGCUUCAUGAGAUCACACAGUGGGUUGCUUGGUUGGGCUGUAUGUAAUUAUGGUGCACAGAGUGGUCCACCAAGGAGUGAGGGGGAUGACUUAACGUGUGGGCUCCUUUGCACCUCCUGUCUCUCUUUGGUCCAAGUAGACCUCAAAGAGUGAUAACUCUCUAGCACUCUCAGGCAAAGACCCCUCCAGGCAGCCAAUGGGGAAGCCACAUCCUGAGGCACAGUGCUAUCUCUGCAUCUGGAAGUCGGGGGAGGUGCCAAAGACUCCACAGUCUGGUUGGACUGACUUGAGAAGCAGUUCUGCUACAGCUCUCACUGUGUGGGCGCAAUGGAGGCCAUGCCUGAGGUAGUCACUCCAUAGGAGAAGGUGUGCACCACCAGAGCUGUCCAUUCUGCAAGCAGCUCAGAAGCCAGUCAGGCAAAUCUGGGGAAGCUCAUGAAAAAGCUCACGAUUGUCCUUAUUGUUAUUCAGGCCCCUUUCUCAAAAUUCCAUUUAAAACACACUUUCUGAGGACCUAUUAUUAAUAUUUGCCAGUCUUUCUGCCAUAAGCACUAAGAUAAAGAAAACAGAGUCUCUGGCCUCCGAAUGAACUACAAUUUAUUGUAAUAAAUACUAAGACCCGGCUGGGCGCGCUGGCUCAUGCCUGUAACCCCAGCACUUUGGGAGGCCGAGGCGGACAGAUCACCUGAGGUUGGGAGUUUGAGACCAGCCUGACCAAUACGGAGAAACCCCCGUCUCUACUACAAAUACAAAAAAAGUAGCCGGGCAUGGUGACCCAUGCCUGUAAUCCCAACUACUCAGGAGGCUGAGGCAGGAGAAUUGCUUGAACCCAGGAGGCGGAGGUUGUGGUGAGCCGAGAUCGAGCCAUUG
rnacentral:lncRNA from 1 species